GAUUUUUCGCUAUCGCGAGAACCUUUUGGCUCUCGUAUGUGCGCACGCGUCUGGAUCCGGAGCCAGGUGACCCGCUCAGACGUGGACGACGGGCGGGGGAGAAGGAGCCCGGGAGGAGGUGGCCGACGGAACAGGUGGAGCCGCGGCGAGGCUGGGCGGGGCGGAGAGUGAAACAACAUAGGCUCCGCCCCUCGCGGUGCUUCCCCCGGAAUAGCGUCAUCAGUUCUAUAAGAGAGCGUGUGCCGAAGGCCUCGGCCUUUCAUAUUCGGGAAGCGUCGGGAUUAGUUGAAGGUCGCGGGGCGGCCACGUGCAGCCCUGGACCCUGA
rnacentral:lncRNA from 1 species